GCGGGUGUGGCGGAAUGGCAGUCGCGGCAGAUUUAGGAUCUGUUGCCAUAGGCGUAUGAGUUCGAGUCUCUUCACCCGCACCA
rnacentral:tRNA from 1 species